rnacentral:rRNA from 1 species
CGAGCGGAAACGAUCUCAUCUUGCUGCGAAGCGUCGAGCGGCGGACGGGUGGCGUAAUGCAUAGGAAGCUGCCCGGUAGUGGGGGAUAAGCUUGAGGAAACUCAAGCUAAUACCGCAUACGCCCUACGGGGGAAAGCAGGGGCUCUUCGGACCUUGCGCUAUCGGAUGAGCUUAUGUCGGAUUAGCUAGUUGGUGAGGUAACGGCUUACCAAGGCGACGAUCCGUAGCUGGUCUGAGAGGAUGAUCAGCCACAUCGGGACUGAGACACGGCCCGAACUCCUACGGGAGGCAGCAGUGGGGAAUAUUGGACAAUGGGCGAAAGCCUGAUCCAGCCAUGCCGCCGUGUGUGAAGAAUGCCCUCGGGUUGUAAAGCACUUUCAAGUGAGGAAGGAAGGCUUGUCCGUUAAUACCCGGCAGGAAAUGACAUCACUCACAGAGAGAAGCCCCGGCUAACUCCGGUGCCAACAGGGGCGGUAAUACGGACGGGGCAAAGCGUUAAUCCGGAAUUACUGGGCGUAAA